rnacentral:rRNA from 1 species
GACGAACGCUGGCGGCGCGCCUAACACAUGCAAGUCGAACGAGCGAGCGGCGGUUUACUUUCUCACUCGAGUGGCGAACGGGUGAGUAACGCGUGAGGAACCUGCCUCAAAGAGGGGGACAACAGUUGGAAACGACUGCUAAUACCGCAUAUGCCCACGACCCGUCAUCGGGUAGAGGGAAAAGGAGCCAUCCGCUUUGAGAUGGCCUCGCGUCCGACUAGCUAGUUGGUGAGGUAAUGGCCCACCCAGGCGACGAUCGGUAGCCGGACGGAGAGGUUGAACGGCCACAUCGGGACUGAGGCACGGCCCAGACUCCGACGGGAGGCAGCAGUGGGGAAUAUUGCACGAGGGGGGAAAACCUGAUGCAGCGACGCCGCGGGGAGGAAGAAGGUCGUCGGAUUGUAAACUCCUGUUGUAGAGGAAGAUAAUGACGGUACUCAACAAGGAAGUGACGGCUAACUACGUG